AUCUGCAACCGACGAAAGACUUUCCAGCCUUAGCCCUUCCAUCUUCCCCUAUCCUGCCUCUACACAGGAUGCUCCACUUCUCCUCCAGGUUUCGCUCCGCCUCUUUUCCUAGGUAGCUCUAUCCUCCUGCGUGGUCUGGCCUCUUUGUGACUCCCUCCCUUCCACGCUCACGGACCCUACUUACUAGCCUACGAGGCUGACUAGUCCUUUCUCUUUCAAAACUCGCUCUUCAAUUUAACUCUGCUGCUCACUGGAUUGAGAAUCCUUCCCCAGGACCACCCACCCUUGGCUCCAGCUGGUUCUUCCCCAUCUUCUUGACACCUUCACCUCUUCCACCGGUAAUCUGCAAACCCAUCGGCCCCGCCCUAUGCACGGGACUUUGUUUGCUCUGUCCAUUAGCAAUUGGGGAGUGUUCUACCCUCAGAUAGCCCUCCUCCUACAGUCCACGCCCACCUAAAUUGUCUUCCCUCCUCCAGGCUAGACCCGCCCCUUGUCCCGCCCUAUAAUUACGCCUCUGCUCCGCCCUGAUGAUGUCCCACCUCACCUAUGAAGGUCCCUGUACCUUCCUUGCUAGCUUCACUCUUUCCCUGGUGGCCUUGCUUACUUGAGGUUUUCUCACAAACUGCUUGCUAGCUCCUCCCUUUCCUGGCAGCCACGUCCAUCAGCAGCUAUUUCCCUAAUCUUCACAGCUAGCUUGGCAUCUUCUCCAACAGCCACGCCCACCGGUAGCUGCCCUAGCUCCUCCUUAUUGGCGCCUCCCUCCCUGAAGGGCACGCCCCCUCGCUGUCUCUUCUCUUUGCUGACACCCAGGACUCCAUGUGCUUCCCCUCUUCUGCUGCUGGACGGCCCCUACUGCUCUUACCCGCCACAGUGAGGUUGAACACUGAACGCCGGCGGUGGCCAGUGCGAGGGUUCGCGGCGAUGCAGGCAAAACACUGACGUCAGCUGCAGCUUCGGUGUGGCCAAAGGGGCUUCGGACCUGGCAAGUGUACCGGGCGUGGUCGCUGCGUACCGGACGUGAGAUGAGCAGCUGGUCCCGUUCUGUGCGGAUGCGAGGUGGCUCUGCGCCUUCAGGGUCUGAGGUGCCCAGGGCUCGUCCGUCUCUACUCCAGCUCAGCUUCCCGCUACCUGGGUUCCACCCCACGCAGCUUAGCCGCAGCUCGGCUGCUCCUUCUUCUGUCUCUGGCGCCCUGGGCUGUACUGACAACUGGGGCAAGGGCUCUGGAGAUCCAGAACAGUCUUUGAUGAGUUGGAGAGCCCAUACACCAGAACUCCCUCCCUGGGCCAUAAGUCUCUGCCUCUUCAGUCCUUCCUCUCUCCUCUCACUGCACCCAGAAUCAGAGCUCUCAGUCCUUCUUCCUCUGAUCCAGGGAUAUAGACCCCAGCCCUCCUCCCUUGGACCCAGAGGUGCAUACCUCAGCCCGCAAACUUAGGUGUCCAAACCCCAAUCUUAUUCCAUCAGUCUGAGGACUCCAGACUCCAGCCCUCCUUCAGACUCUGAGGUCAAGACCCACCCCCUCUUCCCUCAAACCCAGGGGUUCAGACUUCAAUCCUCCUCCUUCAGACCUGAGUCCAAACCCCAGUCUUAAUUCCCUCGGUCCCACGGAUUCAGGCCCUAGCCCUCCCCCGUCACACCUAAGUGAGGUCCAGGCCUCUCUCAGACCUAAGAGUCCAGCUUAGACCUCCUCCUUCAGACAAGGUGAGCUCUGGUCCCUGCCUUUGCUCUUAUCCCCACCCACAGGCUCUUUCUUCUAGGAAGGAAGCAUAUUCACACAGCACAGACUUGUCCAGAGGUCUGCGAGGAGAGCAGGCACUCGGCAGCCUGCACUCUGGACCUCGGACCCCACUUACCAAAUACACCCACCACAAACUCUCGAAUCUGCUGGGAGACUCCUCCCCUGAUGACCUCAACUGUGUACACCCCUGCAUCAUCCAGCCGGGCAGAGAGGUUGUAUGGAGAAGCCCAGGCUGAACCUCCACUCCUCACCCCCAGGGCAAGGUGAACUCCCAGCUGGGACCAAGCAGCAAGCCUGUGGGGACCACGCAGGAAGACUUCCUUCAGGCGUGUCUGUGAAGUCAGAGCCCCUCCUGUGUCCCCACCUGGCCCAGGUGUCUUGCUUCCCAGCCUUCUGCUGUCUACUGUCUGACCUGCAGUCUUUUCUCUGACCCUGCCCUCUUCUCCAGAUCCUUCUGUGACUCCUUAUGAUCCUCGGAACCAAGUCUCCAGUUGCUGUCUCUAUCAAAGCCAUCUACCCUGAUACUUAGAAAUCAGUUUCCAUUGUUCAAUACCUGAUGAACUCAGCAUCUCCCUCUGACCCAUACUUUCAGGAUCACCUAUGCAAAGCCUGCGGAGGCUUCCCACUGUCCCCCCUACCCAGCACUGCUACCAAUCUCUGAAUACUACCUAGAUCUCUUCCCAUUUUCUCCUCUUGUACCCACUGCUCAGACCUUACCCUUUUCAUCUGCAACCCCCUUCCCCCCCACACACACUUUCUGUAACCUCCUACUCUGUAAGUCCCCUCCCUGGCCAGCAGAUCCCUCCCUCCAUAUCCCAGCCUUGCUUGGCUUCACAGCAUCCUCUGCAGACAUCCUUACUGGCCUCACCCACUUCUCUGCACUAUGUCUUACCCUCCUGAACAUGCCGCUCUUCUGAUGCCAUCUAACCUCCCAGCCCUUGCCAGCAUUCUUCUCUUUACCUGGAAUGCGUUUUCCCUCUCCAAUCUGGCCACCUCACAACUGGUCCUUCAGGUCUCACCUCAUUAACAGCCAUAAUAAUGACAACUUCAGCUCAGCCAGGAACUAUGCUAAAUCCUACCAGCACAUUAUUAUCAGGCUGAUUUCUUUUUUCUCAGUGUCCUCUGAGCAGAAUGUUUGAUCCUCACUUCACAGACCAAUGAGGAUGCAGAAAAGCCAAAUUUCCCAUGAGAGGUUGCAGAGCCAGCAAGAGAGGCUGGACUUAGGUUAAGGCUGGUCAGAUUGCUUCAGUCCGUCAGAACGUUUUCUUAUCACCCCUUGCUAGGUAGGCUUUAGGCCUCUGCUCAGCUCUGAACCUCUGAGACCUAGUGCUUUCCGUGCUGGUGGAAGGCAUGGUCAGAAGGCAUUGAGCAUGCUCCAUAUAUUAUCAUAUAUAGCUCAGAAGUGCUAUGUCAGAAAACCUUUUGAGGAAAAUAAUGUUUUGCUGGGCAUAGUGGCACACACCUUUAACCCCAGCACUUGGGAGGCAGAGGCAGGAGGAUCUCUGAGUUCAAGGCUAUCCUGGUCUACAUAGGGAGUUCCAGGACAACCAGGACAGCAUGGAGACUCUAAGAAAAUAGAAGUAAAUGAAUAAUAAUACUAUUUUAGUUUAUUCUUUGAGAAUUUAACAUGUUUUGAUCAUAUCUUUUCUUGUCCCCUAACUCCUUCUAGAUCUUUCCCAACCCCCUACUCACCUGUCUUCAUGUUCUUUCUCUAAGAUAAAAUGAAGUAAAAUAAAAUAAAGCACAGAGUC